rnacentral:misc_RNA from 1 species
CUCUUUCCAACAUUGUGUUGCACUAAGAGAGAAUCGUUGGAGUUGCCUAGCAAUGACGAAAACAAUGAUGAGAGGACAUUUUUAUCUGAUAUUAGCAAUCUCUUCUGCUGAACCAUUAAGCCCAAUAUUUCUCCAAGAAAAUGAACCCAGACAGCAUGAGGACCAUUUUUAGAUCUGGAUAAAUCAACGCGUGACCACAAGGAUAGAAGUCCUUCAACGGUAUUCAUUGCUGCUGUGCGCACAUCCUGGUUAUCACUUGAUAGG